rnacentral:lncRNA from 1 species
GAUGGGGACCUGAAAGGAAUUUUUAUAGCUCCUCCUGGGACCCACAGUCUGUGGGACCUUCCUCCUCUGCUCUCCAUUCCUGAGGGUUCAACCUGAGAGCACACUCAGGUAUCACCUGCAGCCUGGCAGCUCUGGGAAGGCAUCACUAUACCAACCCUGCGUUGCCCGCCCUCAUGCCCCUCCUGCCCGUGGUCAGGCAUCAAGAGCCAAGCCAACCACUCUGCACUUUGUUUCCCUCUCCCAUCCUACUCUACUCCCAUCAGCCCUGGGCCACCUCCUCUAGUUCUUCCUGUUUUAUUAAUUAGUUGGUCAGUUUGGAGAGCCGAUUAGCACCAUGGAGGGUGGCAGUUGGGGCUGGACAGAGGGACUGCCCACAGGAGCAUGUACAUAUGGAAAACAGGACAAUGGACUUUUUAUGAUGUAAUAAAUGUCUUAGUACCAACAUCAUUGCCUCUGGUUUCCUUCUUGAGCUUGUGGGCACCAUGUUAUUGGCAUACCCAGGGAUUGGGCCUUGCAUGAACAAAAAUGAGACUAAGCCUACUAAGCCCACAUGGCCCCCCGGCCAGCAGCCAGCCAGAAGCCAGGACGCAGUCAGGAUUCCAUCACUGCUGCCGUCGUCCCACCACCACCACCACCACAGCAGUGAGGCCUUGUCACCAGGGAUGUGCUUGGGGUUUAGCCGUUGUCCUCUUCCCUAACUACUCCAACAGGGACAGCUGGGACAGCCUAGGCUGGGGCAAAGGGAGGGUGAACCAGAGCUGAGCUGAGCUCUAGUUAUUGAGAGGUCACCCUUCAGAUACGCCUCGUAGUCCAGGAACACAAAGGAGCCCAUGGGGCUUAGGGGGUGGGGGGCUAUCCUGCCCACAGUGGUGAUCAUGUGUUUCUGAGCACAGGGCAUUCAUUCUGGCCCCGAGCUGAGGAGGGGCAAUUUCUCCCCAUCCCACAGCCUCCAUUCAUCCCAGUCACUGAAACACGUUUGGAGAACCCCUCCCCUUCUUUCCCUCUGAGUCAGGACGAGACAAGUGGGAGUGUGCCCGGGGCAGGCAGUAUGGCCCCUGCGGGGCUGAGUACCAUGGCUGGGAUGCAGAGUGCUAUUUCAGCUUUCCCAAGUGAACCAUCCCCACCGUCUUAGCUUCUUCCUCCACGGUGAUCCUGCUGCACUUUGGCGGGGAGUGGAGGGCAGAGAGUGUUACCUGUUGUUCUACCAGCUGGCCUCCCUCAUGGAGCAUUAGGGACACUCACCCUCUUCAGUGGACCCAGCUGGCUCUGUGAUCAUUCAGCACCUUGAGCUUCCUUUCGUUCAGCGCAACCACGUGCAUGUUGCUGGGUCUGGCCUCUGCAAGUGCCUCCCUUGGGUGUAAAAAAGAGCGAGCUGGAAAUGGAAACAGCCUGAUAAGAGCCCUGCAGCUCUACACAACUUUCUCCUCUUCCUUCUCCUGCAAGUAGUCCAGACCUUGCCUGCUUUCAACACCAACUAGAAGCCUUUUCCAACUUGCCCCUUGGAAAAUUGGGAUUAAGACUCCACUCUGCAUUUUCACUUUUCUGAGUGCAAAAAAGCCUGGCUCUGCAGUCAGGUGGACACUAUGGUCCUUGGCUUUAGCUAGAACGUCGCUGUUCUCCCACCUGAACCCCACAGCUCUGCCUUUAGAAGCUUCCAUAUUUCCCUAUGGUGGAAACAACCAUUGGCUGCUUAUAGAAAUCUGCCAUCCUCUGAAUAUGAAAAGUCUGUCCUCUGAGUCUGCAAAUAUUAGGAAAGAAGCUGGAAUGAGUGCAAACUGAAUCACUUGCAAGCAGAGAAAAACAUUUGUUGGAAGUUUCAUUCUGUUACAGAAAUACCAGCUGACACAUUCAUGAACUGUGUUGUUGAGAGUGUUGUCUCUGAGAAGGCAAAGAAAAAGAGGAAUAUUCAGGGCUUAAUCCUGACAAUAAAGAGUGACAAGGAAGUGACAAGAUCUUGUAGGAAAGUAAUGGCAUAAUCUGGAAGGGAAUGCUGGUUCUAACGAUGUCUCCUAUAGGAACUCUGGGAUGGCUGAUUUCAAAAGUCCAGAGGAAAGCUAGAGACAUAAGACCUGAACAUGGAGACGUGACACUGUUGGAACGUGGAUCUGUCCCACCUUGUAGAGGUAUUUACUCCUCUUACAGAUGAGGCGACAGGCUCACAGAGGCCAAAACUUCCCUGGGAAGUUAGGGCCCUGAGAUUCAAAACCAGGUUUGUCUCAUUCUAAACCCCAUGGUCCUUCCCAUGACCCUUCCUCGUUUCAAAAGUAGUAGUGGUGGUAGUGGGGGUAUGGAAACCCUCCAAAACUACAUAUGUUUUCUUGGUUUUUUUGUUUUGUUUUGUUUUGUUUUUUGUCUUUUUGCUAUUUCUUGGGCCGCUCCCACGGCAUAUGGAGGUUGCAGAUGGGGCUCAGAUCUGGUGUUGCUGUGGCUGUGGUGUAGGCCGGCAGAGCCUAGGAACUUCCACAUGCCAUGCGUGCAGCCCUAAAAAGCAAAAAAAGAAAAAAGGAGUUUCUGUCAUGGCUCAGUGGUUAACAAAUCUGACUAGCAAUGAUGAGGAUGCAGGUUCGAUCCUGGCCUUGCUCAGUGGUUUAAGGAUCCAGCGUUGCUGUGAGCUGUGGUGUAGGUUGCAG